rnacentral:rRNA from 1 species
ACCGCUAAAGUAGAUGAUUUAUAUUAUUUUAUAUAUAAAUUUUGAAACUUUAGUGAGUAGGAAGGUACAAUGGUGUGCUUAGAAGUGUUUGGCGUAAGCCUGCAUGGAGCCGCCAUUGGUACAGAUCUUGGUGGUAGUAGCAAAUAAUCGAAUGAGACCUUGGAGGACUGAAGUGGAGAAGGGUUUCGUGUGAACAGUGGUUGAUCACGAGUUAGUCGGUCCUAAGUUCAAGGCGAAAGCCGAAAAUUUUCAAGUUUUAAAAAUGUCAAAUGAAAUAAUAAAUAAUAAAACACUUGAAUAAUUUUGAACGAAAGGGAAUACGGUUCCAAUUCCGUAACCUGUUGAGUAUCCGUUUGUUAUUAAAUAUGGGCCUCGUGCUCAUCCUGGCAACAGGAACGACCAUAAAGAAGCCGUCGAGAGGUAUCGGAAGAGUUUUCUUUUCUGUUUUAUAGCCGUACUACCAUGGAAGUCUUUCGCAGAGAGAUAUGGUAGAUGGGCUAGAAGAGCAUGACAUAUACUGUUGUGUCGAUAUUUUCUCCUCGGACCUUGAAAAUUUAUGGUGGGGAUACGCAAACUUCUCAACAGGCCGUACCAAUAUCCGCAGCUGGUCUCCAAGGUGAAGAGUCUCUAGUCGAUAGAAUAAUGUAGGUAAGGGAAGUCGGCAAAUUAGAUCCGUAACUUCGGGAUAAGGAUUGGCUCUGAAGAUUGAGAUAGUCGGGCUUGAUUGGGAAACAAUAACAUGGUUUAUGUGCUCGUUCUGGGUAAAUAGAGUUUCUAUCAUUUAUGAUAGUUAUUUGUUCCCCGGAUAGUUAGUUACGUAGCCAAUUGUGGAACUUUCUUGCUAAAAUUUUUAAGAAUACUAAUUUUUAAUUAGUUCUUUUAAAUUAUAACGAUUAUCAAUUAACAAUCAAUUCAGAACUGGCACGGACUUGGGGAAUCCGACUGUCUAAUUAAAACAAAGCAUUGUGAUGGCCCUAGCGGGUGUUGACACAAUGUGAUUUCUGCCCAGUGCUCUGAAUGCGGGUCAACGGCGGGAGUAACUAUGACUCUCUUAAGGUAGCCAAAUGCCUCGUCAUCUAAUUAGUGACGCGCAUGAAUGGAUUAACGAGAUUCCUACUGUCCCUAUCUACUAUCUAGCGAAACCACAGCCAAGGGAACGGGCUUGGAAUAAUUAGCGGGGAAAGAAGACCCUUUUGAGCUUGACUCUAAUCUGGCAGUGUAAGGAGACAUAAGAGGUGUAGAAUAAGUGGGAGAUAUUAUUCCUUGUGUUUGAUAUCGCCAAUGAAAUACCACUACUCUUAUUGUUUCCUUACUUACUUGAUUAAAUGGAACGUGUAUCAUUUCCUAGCCAUUAUACGGAUAUAUUUAUUAUAUCUUAUGGUAUUGGGUUUUGAUGCAAGCUUCUUGAUCAAAGUAUCACGAGUUUGUUAUAUAAUCGCAAACAAAUUCUUUAAUGAGAGAGUGCAUUUAUGUAUUUUUAAUUUGAAAUAUUUGGUAUAACUCCAAUUACUCAGGUAUGAUCCAAUUCAAGGACAUUGCCAGGUAGGGAGUUUGACUGGGGCGGUACAUCUCUCAAAUAAUAACGGAGGUGUCCCAAGGCCAGCUCAGUGCGGACAGAAACCACACAUAGAGCAAAAGGGCAAAUGCUGACUUGAUCUCGGUGUUCAGUACACACAGGGACAGCAAAAGCUCGGCCUAUCGAUCCUUUUGGUUUAAAGAGUUUUUAACAAGAGGUGUCAGAAAAGUUACCAUAGGGAUAACUGGCUUGUGGCGGCCAAGCGUUCAUAGCGACGUCGCUUUUUGAUCCUUCGAUGUCGGCUCUUCCUAUCAUUGUGAAGCAAAUUCACCAAGCGUUGGAUUGUUCACCCAUGCAAGGAACGUGAG